CCCAUUUCUCCAUAGCAUAAAUUGAGAUUAACUUGAAUCUAUGGUUAUUUAAUUUUGCUAUUUUGAUAUAUGACAAUUGAUUGUGUUUGUUAAAGUCCAGGCUCCUUCAUUCUAAUACUUGUUAAUUUUGGUAUUUUACUUGGUUUUUGAUAGUUGACUUAAUAGUUUGCUGUGGUGCAAGACUCCCUGGAUUUUGUUGUUUGCUGCUUACUAUUAACCGAGAAUGAAUUUGCAGUCAAAUGGCAGUGUAAUAUCAGGGGAUCAUCUCUGUGAUUGUGUUAUCAUCCAAUUCUUAAAUAGUUGACUUAACAGUCUACUGUAGGGUAGGACACCUAGAACUUUGUUGUUUGCUGCUUACCAUUAACAUAGAACGAAUUUGCAGUCAAAUGGCAGUGCAAUAUCUGGGGAUCGUCUCUGUGAUUGUGUGAGCAUCUAAUUCUUAAAUAGUUGACUUAAUAGUCUACUGUGCUGUAGGACUCCCUGGACUUUGUUGUUUUCUGCUUAUAAUUAACCUAGAACGAAUUUGCAGGAAGGGCAGUAUCUGAGAAUCAUCUAUGUGAUUGUGUGAGAUUUAAUUUUUAAAUCGUUGACUUAAUAGUCUACUGUGCUGUAGGACUCCCUGGACUUUGUUGUUUGCUGCUUACCGCUAACCUAACAACAAUUGGCAGUCAAUAAUGGUGGGAAUAAAGGCCAUUAUACUGUUUAUUCAUAUAAACUGAUAAAUAAGUUCAUAAUUACUUUAAGGUGCUAUGCAUGCUAUAGCUAUAGAAGAUGAGUUAAUGAUUCAUAGUGAGUACAUUUAACAUACUAGUGUUUUUAUUAGUUUGAAAUACAUAAGAAGUACAUUUUCUUAAACAACUGUACAGUAAGUUUCGAAGUUGUCAUAUGUUGUUUGUUUAAUAAUGCUACGUUGUGUACUUGUUA
rnacentral:lncRNA from 1 species